rnacentral:ncRNA from 2 species
UGAAUCCGCGCGGGAGAGUCCCGGUCACCGUGCCGGGCGCCGAAGGAGCAAGAUCCUCCCUUGAAUCUCUCAGGCCCCGUACCGCGUGGAUGAG